rnacentral:rRNA from 1 species
GUCUAUGGCCAUGCCACCCUGAACAAGCCCGAUGUCUGAUCUCGGAAGCUAAGCAGUAUCGGGCCUGGUUAGUACUUGGAUGGGAGAUCACCUAGGAAGACCAGGGGCUGUAGGCA